rnacentral:rRNA from 1 species
UACGUAGGGUGCAAGCGUUAAUCGGAAUUACUGGGCGUAAAGCGUGCGCAGGCGGCUUUGCAAGACAGAUGUGAAAUCCCCGGGCUUAACCUGGGAACUGCAUUUGUGACUGCAUGGCUGGAGUGCGGCAGAGGGGGAUGGAAUUCCACGUGUAGCAGUGAAAUGCGUAGAGAUGUGGAGGAACACCGAUGGCGAAGGCAGCCCCCUGGGCUGAGAUUGACGCUCAGGCACGAAAGCGUGGGGAGCAAACAGG